GAUCAAAACAUCUAUUGUGUAUGAUCCUAUAGGCUCUAUGCAAUCUGGUAGUGAGAUAUAUUGUGAUAUCUAUUACAAUAUCAUUGAAACUCUUUUUGAUGGAUUGGAAUGAUUUCGACUCUAUCCUUCGAGGUCAUCGAUCAUCAAGAUUACUUUCAAUGAGUCUCAUAAUCCAUCAGUAAUACCCAGCAGUAUGUAGUAGCAACCCAGC
rnacentral:lncRNA from 1 species